GUGGGUAUAGCUCAGUGGUAGAGUGCGUGCUUAGCAUGCACAAGGUCCUGGUUUCAACCCCUAGUACCUCCA
rnacentral:tRNA from 1 species